AAAAAAAAAAAAAAAAAAAAAAAGACAAAAAACAAACAUACUAGCAACCAAUAAUAGUGAUAGUGGAUGUUUGACAUUUUAUUUUGUUUUAAUUUUUCACUAAAAAUCUUUCUUCAAGGAUG
rnacentral:ribozyme from 1 species